rnacentral:rRNA from 1 species
UUGGAGGGCAAGUCUGGUGCCAGCAGCCGCGGUAAUUCCAGCUCCAAUAGCGUAUAUUAAAGUUGUUGCAGUUAAAAAGCUCGUAGUUGAAUUUCGGGGUUAGUAGGUUGGUCAUGCCACUGGUAUGUACUGGUCUCACUGAUUCCUCCUUCCUGAUGAGCCGUAAUGCCAUUAAUUUGGUGUUGCGAGGAAUCUGGACUGUUACUUUGAAAAAAUUAGAGUGUUUAAAGCAGGCUAACGCUUGAAUACAUUAGCAUGGAAUAAUGAAAUAGGACGUUCGAUCUUAUUUUGUUGGUUUCUAGGAUUGACGUAAUGAUUAAUAGGGAUAGUUGGGGGCAUUAGUAUUCAAUUGUCAGAGGUGAAAUUCUUGGAUUUAUUGAAGACUAACUACUGCGAAAGCAUUUGCCAAGGAUGUUUUCAUUAAUCAAGAACGAAAGUUAGGGGAUCGAAGACGAUCAGAUACCGUCGUAGUCUUAACCAUAAACUAUGCCGACUAGGGAUCGGAUGAUGUUAAUUUUUUAAUGACUCAUUCGGCGCCUUACGGGAAACCAAAGUGUUUGGGUUC